GACGAACGCUGGCGGCACGCUUAACACAUGCAAGUCGAACGGUGAAGAGGAGCUUGCUCCUCGGAACAGUGGCGGACGGGUGAGUAACACGUGAGCAACCUGCCUACAAGAGUGGAAUAAUGAUUGGAAACGGUCACUAAUACCGCAUAAUAUAUGAAAUUCGCAUGUUUUUCAUAUCAAAGAUUUAUCGCUUGUAGAUGGGCUCGCGUCUGAUUAGCUAGUUGGUAAGGUAACGGCUUACCAAGGCGACGAUCAGUAGCCGUACUGAGAGGUAGAACGGCCACAUUGGGACUGAGACACGGCCCAG
rnacentral:rRNA from 1 species